rnacentral:rRNA from 1 species
GACAAACUUGCUUUGGCGGUGGGCCCCUGCCUGCCGCCAGAGGACAUAAACUUACAACCAAAUUUUUUAUAAACUUGUCACGAGAUUAUUUUUAAUAGUCAAAACUUUCAACAACGGAUCUCUUGGUUCUCGCAUCGAUGAAGAACGCAGCGAAAUGCGAUACGUAAUAUGAAUUGCAGAUAUUCGUGAAUCAUCGAAUCUUUGAACGCACAUUGCGCCCUCUGGUAUUCCGGAGGGCAUGCCUGUUUGAGCGUCGUU